GGUGCAUCGAACCGUCUGAUUAAUGGUUGGUCUAGAUAUUGUCAUGUAUCAUCAUCUGAUAAAUCUUCGAUUCGAUCACCUUCAUCUCGACCGUUGAGGGAUCCUAUAUAUAUAGGAUUACUCUCAACCAAACUUCUACUUUUUAUUUUGUCUUUCUUGAUGUUGAAACUCUGUCAGACGGUCGCCCCAGCAUCUGAGGUUGUUAUUCCCAUCUUUUUCAGGUCAAAUUUCUGUCUCUCCUUGAGUCCCUUUUCUUUUAGAAUCUCCAUCUUCUUUAGAGUC
rnacentral:lncRNA from 1 species